CAACCAGCCUCCCCAAGACUU
rnacentral:tRNA from 1 species